CGUCUCUAACUCCCCCCUAUCGAUUCUCCCAUUCUUCUCUACGCUAUCCUCUCGAUCGAUUGUUGAAUACCACCGGUGCAACAUCAGUUGGAAACCAGCGACUCACAAUCUGUUGGAAUCGCACCGGCGCACUGUUGGAAACCUAGCGAUGAGCCCUGGUUCGAACCUACCAUCGAUUCAACAGGGUGAGAUAGGUCGUAGAAGUGGAGGUGAUAACGUACUUGAAAGGGAAGGAUAUGCUGGAUUUUCRUUGGGACUUGUUGCUUUUGGUCGUGGCCUAGAUGCGAUUGGUUUUAUGGAUACGUUACUUGAGCGGUUGUUCCAAUAUGCCGGCGGCAAAGAGAUUCACAAUCUAACUGCCGUUUGAAUCUGUUCACCACAUUUCUACAGGAUUUCGGCUAUUUGUACUAUAUUUUUGAAAGAUGCAUGGUAUUAGGAGCUCAUGUGGAUGACUUUGUUGCUUUGGCUUUCCUCAGGAAAGGUCCAUUUUCUCCAACACAUCGAUAGAUGAUCACAAUCGUGGUUCUGGGCAGGUUGUGCGUUACCAAAUUUAGAGCA